GAUGAACGCUGGCGGCGUGCCUAAUACAUGCAAGUCGAGCGAACAGACGAGGAGCUUGCUCCUCUGACGUUAGCGGCGGACGGGUGAGUAACACGUGGAUAACCUACCUAUAAUACUGGGAUAACUUCGGGAAACCGGAGCUAAUACCGGAUAAUAUAUUCAACCGCAUGGUUCAAUAGUGAAAGACGGUUUUGCUGUCACUUAUAGAUGGAUCCGCGCCGCAUUAGCUAGUUGGUAAGGUAACGGCUUACCAAGGCGACGAUGCGUAGCCGACCUGAGAGGAUGAUCGGCCACACUGGAACUGAGACACGGUCCAGACUCCUACGGGAGGCAGCAGUAGGGAAUCUUCCGCAAUGGGCGAAAGCCUGACGGAGCAACGCCGCGUGAGUGAUGAAGGUCUUCGGAUCGUAAAACUCUGUUAUUAGGGAAGAACAAAUGUGUAAGUAACUAUGCACGUCUUGACGGUACCUAAUCAGAAAGCCACGGCUAACUACGUG
rnacentral:rRNA from 1 species